CAAAGGUGCAUCUCAGGGCUGUAUGCUUAGCCUCCCGCAUGAACUGAGUGCCAAAGGACAACUCCAAAGCCAUCUUCAAAUUUGUUGAUGACGCUACUGUAAUUGGAUGAAUCACAAGUAGUGCUGCAAGAAGCGGCCUUCUUCAGUAGGAGGUUUCUGUCAUGGUCUGCUCAUGAAGGACCAGGUGUGGAGGAACAGCAGGAUCCUCAGAGAAGAGGCAGGAGGUUAAACAUCAGAAUCAGAGCCUCUGAGGAGCGCCAGAGUGACACCACAAGAUUUACAGUAUCCUGCUGGAAGGCCAGACCAGCAGAUUGAAGUAGCUGCUAAGGAAAACAAUCAUCAGAUCUGCAUUUAUUAUUUCUGGGGUGGACAAAUCCGUUUUGUGCACUUGAUUGGAAGAAGUGCAAGUGAAGAGUUGCUUGGGGCCUUGGAUGGUGGGGUGGGUUAAGAGCUAAAAGGACUGGAUAUUACAUAUCCUGUGGUUUACAUUUUAACGAGCCAACUUACUGAUCUCUCAGAAGCAAGAAUGCUAAAUAAUAUAAAAUAAAAAAUAACUGUAAAUGUCAAAAAUCUGAUUUUAACUUGCAUAGGCAAGUCAAAACUACAUUGGUUUUUAUAGAAGUUACAGCAUAAAAUAGGAUAUCAAUCCUACUCUCCACUGGUCUUGUGCUCCACACAAACCUGCUCCUACACAUCCAAAUUGAUCCAUAUAUUCUUCUAUUUCUUUCCCAUUCAUCAGCUUACUGUUUACUUCAAUGCAUACAGGCUACUCUACUCUAGGAACAACUUUUGAACGACAGAUGGUAAGAUGAACUUGAAUUCAGUUAAGGUGAAGUAAGCCCAUGCUAAUUUUAUGUUUAAACAUAAUUUAAGCUUUUUGCCAUGAAAUGUUCUUUCUGUAGGUAGAAAAAUCAUUUCAUGGCAACCUAAGGAAUUUCCUUACAGU